rnacentral:rRNA from 1 species
AUUGAACGCUGGCGGCAUGCCUUACACAUGCAAGUCGAACGGUAACGGGUGCUUCGGGAUGCCGACGAGUGGCGAACGGGUGAGGAAUAUAUCGGAACGUGCCCAGUAGCGGGGGAUAACUGCUCGAAAGAGGGGCUAAUACCGCAUACGCCCUGAGGGGGAAAGGGGGGGAUCGCAAGACCUCUCGCUAUUGGAGCGGCCGAUAUCAGAUUAGCUAGUUGGGGGGGUAAAGGCCUACCAAGGCAACGAUCUGUAGUUGGUCUGAGAGGACGACCAGCCACACUGGGACUGAGACACGGCCCAGACUCCUACGGGAGGCAGCAGUGGGGAAUUUUGGACAAUGGGCGCAAGCCUGAUCCAGCAAUGCCGCGUGCAGGAAGAAGGCCUUCGGGUUGUAAACUGCUUUUGGCAGGGAAGAAAUCUUUUGGGCUAAUACGCCGGGAGGAUGACGGUACCUGAAGAAUAAGCACCGGCUAACUACGUGCCAGCCGCCGCGGUAA